UACGAAGGGGGCUAGCGUUGCUCGGAAUCACUGGGCGUAAAGCGCACGUAGGCGGCUUUCUAAGUCAGGGGUGAAAUCCUGGAGCUCAACUCCAGAACUGCCUUUGAUACUGGAGAGCUAGAGUCCGGAAGAGGUGAGUGGAACUGCGAGUGUAGAGGUGAAAUUCGUAGAUAUUCGCAAGAACACCAGUGGCGAAGGCGGCUCACUGGUCCGGUACUGACGCUGAGGUGCGGAAAGCGUGGGAGCAACAGGG
rnacentral:rRNA from 1 species